rnacentral:rRNA from 1 species
GAUGAACGCUGGCGGCGUGCCUAAUACAUGCAAGUCGAGCGAACGGACGAGAAGCUUGCUUCUCUGAUGUUAGCGGCGGACGGGUGAGUAACACGUGGAUAACCUACCUAUAAGACUGGGAUAACUUCGGGAAACCGGAGCUAAUACCGGAUGAUAUUUUGAACCGCAUUGUUCAAAAGUGAAAGACGGUCUUGCUGUCACUUAUAGAUGGAUCCGCGCUGCAUUAGCUAGUUGGUAAGGUAACGGCUUACCAAGGCAACGAUGCAUAGCCGACCUGAGAGGGUGAUAGGCCACACUGGAACUGAGACACGGUCCAGACUCCUACGGGAGGCAGCAGUAGGGAAUCUUCCGCAAUGGGCGAAAGCCUGACGGAGCAACGCCGCGUGAGUGAUGAAGGUCUUCGGAUCGUAAAACUCUGUUAUUAGGGAAGAACAUAUGUGUAAGUAACUGUGCACAUCUUGACGGUACCUAAUCAGAAAGCCACGGCUAACUACGUG